ensembl:lincRNA 9030622O22Rik RIKEN cDNA 9030622O22 gene
CUACUGUCUAUUUUUUUCCUUCCCCAUAAGCCUAAGGUGUGGGGAAGGCUCCCUCUCUGGAGGAGCAGGUCGGAAGACCUCGGUGCAAAAGCAGGGACCCCCUGGCUGACCCUGUUCUCCCUCUGCAAAAUAAAGGAACCCCACCGGUGCAGAACCGUGCCACUGCACCCAUAAGACAGCCCCGAGGCUCCUGGCAGACCCUACUGGGAAUUACACAGCAAGAUGGCUUUCCCUACUCCAUCGUGGCUAGAGCCUCUGCAAGGGCUGAAGCCCUUUGAUCUUGGCUUCAUUUGGAUACAUUUCAAGGGCCUUACUGGCUUUGGGCAAGUGCUGAAGUUCACUCAUUUUCUAUUGGUUGUUUCUCCCCAUGAAAGACAUUGAACAUAAGUGGUGUGGAAUAAUGUUAAGCUUCUCUGAUGGGUCCUAAAUGGUUGAAGAACACCCCUCAAGAGAUGGGAAGAUUCUAAGAGCCAGAGAGAAUGGAUUACUCCAAGGCAACACAAUGGGACUGAUGACCACAUGAACUCUUAGAGACUGUAGCAGCUUGCACCAGGCCUGU